UGUAAUAUAUGCAAAGCGGUUCGGGAGUGGAGGAUAGUAACUGAAAUAAUAUCGUAUUUUUAUAUUUUCUGGUUAGAUCCAGAUAUUCGGGAGGAAGCCGCGGCUGCGGCGCUUGGCGCGGAUCACGUGAGCGGGACAUGCGUUCUCGGCUCGGGCCGGGGGUUGCGUGUUCCUCGCGUUGAAGGGGCUGCCUCCCGCUCUGUAGUUGGCUACCUGUGUUUGGGUGAGCACCUCGCCACCAGUGCUUUAAAAUCGCUCAUUUUUCACCUUUUAAGUUUUCCGCGGUUUUGCGGCCCUCUACCUCCGUUCUUCGUUCCUCGUUUUUCACCCCCCGAAAAAUCUUCGACUUCCAUUUUUGUGAUAGUGCGCCGUUCUGAUUUCCCACACGGAUUUUGUGUUCCGUUUUCCGUUCGUUUUGUGAAUUCCUCCGAGCGCAUAUUGUUAAGUGACUUGUAUUCGACAUUAUCGUUAUCCGUUUGUAACUUUGGAUUCAUAUUAAAAGGAUUAACUCUCCGCUCCAACGCAGCACCGAUGCCAAAAUGACUUGAGCGGUACACCACCCAAGGUAAGAUAGCUAUCAAAAUGAUUCUACUGAUUUUUGCUUGAAAUAAAGCAAUAAAAAUUUAGAAUACUUUGGGUAAUUUUUUUUUUAAAUUACUUUUUUCCGCUUUCGUGAUUUUGACUUAAAUGAAACCACCACCAAAUAUGCAUGUUUACAUUUUUCUCGAGAUAUCCGACUUUAUCCCUUUUCCGCCCUCUCCUGUAAGUGCAUAAAUGGACGUAUUUCUGCCAAAUGGUACUAUGUGCAUUUAGACAUGAGCCCUGAGACCCAUAAGAACACGUGCUUAAUAGGGCUCACGUCUUAAUACACACAGUUCCGUUUGGCAGAAAUACGUCCAUAUUCCCUUAAGUGCGUGUGAAAAUGUCGUUUCACUUUCUCAGGGUGGGAAUAGGGUGAUUAGUCAGACUUGAACCUGGUACAAACUUGCGAGCGACCAAUGCAUUAUAAAUAAAUUAACGCGGACUUGCAAUAGUGGCAUUGGAGUUUUAAGGUGAAGAGUUAGAACAUUGUUUGGGGGGCUUAGAGCACAAGGCGGAUGGGUGGAGUUUGUGGGAAAUUUGAGAUAUUCAUAAUGCCAACUAAAUCUAUGGUCUUAAAAUUAUGUUCUGUGAAAAAAUCACUCCCAAAUUCAAAUUUUUAAGCAUCAAAGAGCGAGUUUGACUUUUCUUUCCGCCAUAAGCCUCCAUGUAAUUUUAAAACUUUAAAGACGUAUACCUCGAGAUAGCAAAAACUGCACUAAUGCUAUUGUCCUUUACAGUUGGUUGCGACUAGUUAGUCACUGUUACCAUAUAAAAUUCAACGAAGGAAGUAAUAAGAUACCAGUAUUACUUAAUUCCCUUUUAGUGGCGUAGCGUGCUUGCGAUAUGUCGAUUGAUCUGCCAUUUAAACCUAUGGAAACGGAUCUAUAAACAAGGUGUUCGCAACGAACACCUUAAUAAUCGAUUCUUUACUAUCGGUUCAAAUGGAGAAAAAUCGGUAAUCGAUCAUUUACGUCUUGUCAUUGUUUCCAAUGUGAGAUAACAAUUAAACACGAAAAUAUA
rnacentral:lncRNA from 1 species